UUCUGAGAAGGGUUCAAGUGUGAGCAUACCUAUCGAGACCCGAAAGAUGGUGAAAUAUGCCUGAGCGAGGCAAAGCUGUAGGAAACUCUGGUGGAGGACCGCAACGAUACUGACAUGUAAAUCAUUCGUAUGACUCUCUUUGUCGAGCCAUGCCACAAAAUCAAGAGCUCCAAGUAGGCCAUUUUUGGUAAGCAGAACUGGCUAUGCGGGAUAUCAAAAGACGGGUUACGAUGCCAAACUACACGCUAACCUAGAUCCCGCAAAGGGUGUUAGUCGAUUAAGACAGCACAACGGUGGUCAUGGAAGUCAAAAUCUGCUAAGGAGUGUGUAACAACUCACCUACAGAAUAAACUAGCCCCGAAAAUGAAUGGCGCUUAAGCGCGCGACCUACACCCGACGACGGGGAAAGUUCCAGGCCCCGAUAAGUAGGAGGGCGCGAUGGUCGCUGCAAAACCUUGGGCGCGAGCCCGGGAAGAGCGAUGUUCGAUGCAGAUAUUGGGGGUAGUAGCAAAUAUUCAAAUAAGAACUUUGAUGGCCGUUGAGAGGAAAGGUUCCAUGUGAACAACACUUGCACCUGGGUUAGUCGAUCCUAAGGGUCAGGGGUACCACGACAGAUAGCGCGUUUUGUGCGUACUCCAAAAGAGAAUAGGGUUUAAAUUCCUGGACUGGGAUGUGGCGGUCGAAGGCAAUGUUAGAAUGUCCGGAGACGUAGGCGGGAGCCUUAGGAAGAGUAAUCUUUUCUGUUUUACAGCCUGCCCACCCUGGAAUCGGCUCAUCCGGAAGUAAGGUCCAGCAGCUGAAAGAGCAUCGAACGUCGCACGGUGUCCGGUGCACUACCAGCGUCCUUUGAAAAUCCAGAGGACCGAUUGUCGUCCAUGCCAGGUCGUACUCAUAAUCACAUCAGGUCUCAAAGGGGAACAUCCUCUGAUUGAUGGAACAAUAUAAGCAAGGAAAGUCAACAAAAUGGAUCCAUAACUUCUGGAAAAGGAUUGGCACUAAGGGCUGGGCACGGGGGUCCCAAUCCUGAACCCGUCGACUGUCGGUGGACUACUCGAGCUGCUCCCACAGUGAGAGCGGGUCGCCACGUGCCAGUUGGGGGAUAGACUGGGAACGGUUCCUUCGGGGGCCUUCUCCGCGUGUCGAACAUCCAACUCAGAACUGGUACGGACAAGGAGAAUCCGAAUGUUUAAUUAAACAAAGCAUUGCGAUGGUCCUAAAGGAUGUUCAGGCAUUGUGAUUUCUGCUCAGUGCUCUUAAUGUCAAAGUGAAUAAAUUUAGCUAAGCGCGGGUAAACGGCGGGAGUAACUAUGACUCUCUUAAGGUAGCCAAAUGCCUCAUAAUCUAAUUAGUGACGCACAUGAAUGGAUUAAAGAGAUUCCCACUAUCCCUGUCUACUAUCCAGCGAAGCCA
rnacentral:rRNA from 1 species